rnacentral:rRNA from 1 species
UACGGAGGGUGCGAGCGUUGUCCGGAAUCACUGGGCGUAAAGGGCGCGUAGGCGGCUGGGGAAGUCGGCGGUGAAAGCCCGGAGCUCAACUCCGGGUCGGCCGUCGAGACUCCUCGGCUCGAGCUCACUAGAGGCAGAUGGAAUUCCGCGUGUAGCAGUGAAAUGCGUAGAGAUGCGGAGGAACACCGAUGGCGAAGGCAGCCCCCCUGGGCUGACACUGACGCUCAGGCACGAAAGCGUGGGGAGCAAACAGG